rnacentral:rRNA from 1 species
GACGAACGCUGGCGGCGUGCUUAACACAUGCAAGUCGAACGGAAAGGCCCUGCUUUUGUGGGGUGUUCGAGUGGCGAACGGGUGAGUAACACGUGAGUAACCUGCCCUUGACUUUGGGAUAACUUCAGGAAACUGGGGCUAAUACCGGAUAGGAGCUCCUGCUGCAUGGUGGGGGUUGGAAAGUUUCGGCGGUUGGGGAUGGACUCGCGGCUUAUCAGCUUGUUGGUGGGGUAGUGGCUUACCAAGGCUUUGACGGGUAGCCGGCCUGAGAGGGUGACCGGCAACAUUGGGACUGAGAUACGGCCCAGACUCGUACGGGAGGCAGAAGUGGAGAAUAUUGCACAAUGGGCGGAAGCCUGAUGCAGCAACGCCGCGUGCGGGAUGACGGCCUUCGGGUUGUAAACCGCUUUCGCCUGUGACGAAGCGUGAGUGACGGUAAUGGGUAAAGAAGCACCGGCUAACUACGUG